rnacentral:lncRNA from 1 species
AUGGGGGACUGUCUCCGGUUCGAGGGCGUUUUGCAGAAUGGAGGUCUGUUGUCAAGUGCUUGCUGGUUGGGCUGUUUUAUUAUAUACCAUGAUGAAAACUGCAAUGUUCAAAGAAAAUCCAUUAGAACCCAUUAGAACCCAUUAGAACCCAUUGAAAACCCAGCUUUAAUGCUAGGAAUGGAUUGGAUUCAAGCAGCCGGAAUUCAACUUACACUAAAGAAAGAUGGAUGUGAGAUAUCUUCAAAUGGUGGAACACAAAUUCCAGUGGAAUUGAUGACAAAUGGUAUGCAGAAAGGAUCAUGUCUUAUGCUGCCAAUAGAAACUGUACUGAAUCAUUGAACUAUACAGAGACAUCAUUUGACGACUGUUGGAACUGUGAAGUACCAUAGAACAAAUGUGAAUUGAUUAGUCAGAUGGCAAUGUACAAAGCUAUAUCUGACAGAUCAAUUCUAACAGAGGUGCAGAAAGAUGAAAUAAAUCAGAUAGUAGAGAAAUAUGAUCAGAGAAUAGAGACAGAACCAAGGAAUUAUGACAGAAUUCAACACUGGAUAGAGCUUAAUGACCCUACACCUAUGAGGAAAGUGCUCUACCACUAUUUUCUAAAGGAAAGUUCUAAACAGAAUCAAAUCUGAUGAUGGCAUACAGUGCUAAAAACAAUUUGUUCAUUAUUGUAUUAA